UAACGUGUAUCAACUAAUCCCACAAAAAUCGGUGGUGAAUUAAUUGCUCCAAAAUUUUCGUUGGUUUCAUUUUACAUUUUUUUCCUUAAUCAUUUGCAAUUAGAGAUUUCUUCCUUUUCAUUUUAUUCCCGUCAGCGGCGAAAUACAAAGGCGGAACAAGCGGCUUCUUCAGAUUUGGUCGAGCGGUGAAGACGAAGAUCAUCGUGGUAAACAAGCGGCAUGAAAAGAGUGGAUCUCAUUUAAAAAGAGGUGAAAAUAGUGAGUUCAUCGAAAACAUGGAGGAUUUUGAAUAAUCUCAUCAUCAACUUGUUGAAGAAGACUUCAGAACUUGGUUCUCUAUGGAAAAGGUGUUGGAUUAAUUUUGUGGUUUAGCUGCUAGAGACCUAGCUUUGGAAAAAGAUGUGAUUCUCCUUCUGGUUUCGGUUCUUUUCCUUUAUUUGUUGUAAACGCUCUUCUCUUUGGGGUAAUUGGUACUAUUGGUACCAAAGAUCCUUUUAUUAAAGUGCCUUUUUUACUGAUCAAAAAAGCUUGUUGAAGAAGAAGGUGAACUUGCUGAACAAGCGGCGAAAUACGAAGGUUCCAAAGAACAUUAUAAGUUUUUUGUUUUUCAGAACCUGGUUCAGGCAAAAUCCGAUGCAUCACGUACGGCUGGAAAAUGUAAAAGAAGGGUAAAGAAAAACUGAUCGAAGAUGUGUUAUUUGACAGUAGUUUUGUAAUAUUCAGUUAAACAUAUGUAUUAUACAUUAGAAAAUAAAUUUAUUCAUUCGACA